UCUCUCUCUCUCUCUCUCCUCUGCUCUACCUCCUACAUGCAAAUCCUGAUGUAAAGGUCUCAUCUAACACUCCAAUGUCAUGUCUAUCUGCUUCCCUCAAUGACUAUGGGCUAACUCUGAAACUCCCACCAACCAAAAUAUCAUCAGCAAAAUAUCUUCCAACGUGUCUGCUUCGCAAAAUGUCUUAAGAGUUUCCAGAAAAACAUCACAACUGGGUCUUUAAGGAGACCAGAAAUUUCCACUUCAAGUUGGUACCACUUCUUAUCAGCAUCAGAACUUGGGAGAGCAGCGACACUUGUUGACUCAGCCUAAACCUUCCAGACUUUGGAGUCCAUUGUCAAUGCUUUAUCAGAUUUGGAGAGUGGAUGCUGCAGGAGCAUGCUAACUGCCAGAGUGAUUGGUGGGACGUGCUGUUGCUGGUACAAAGAAUGAUGCUAACCCGUGAACUUGCUGAGUGUCCUGACAAUGUGACAGGAAAGCUGUAUUGGACAUUGGUUGCCUUCACACGGGAUCACUUUCAACAAGCUCAGCUAUUCACCAUGACAGUUAUCUAGCAACUUGAAGAAAUGCAUUGAGUGCAUAUUCAUAUGUCCUUCAUGGCUUUGGUCUGAAUGGAAAAGAGUGUGCUAUAGAAGGCUGGUAGUCAGAGAUGGCCCCCCUUUCAGGUAGACCCAGUUCAUCCAUGGCUUUGGACGGCAACACUCUGAGUGAAGAGAUUUGAUGGAGACAAUCCAUUUAAAGAUUCUGAAACUCAAAACAGCUCUAAUCCCCCUCUCACCAAAGCUGGGACAUAAGAUAAAUCUUAAAAUCUUCAGCAAUAAUCUGUACGACAGCCUAAUCCCAGCAUGUACGGGUGUCACGUGAUGCAAUACUCCUUUCUGAGGAGGAAAAGCAGAUGGGAAAUAUGAAAUACUGAAAGUCUUCAUGUCAGUUUAGCUGCUUUGCAAGCCAAUCUAGUUAUUGUAACACAAUUCCUGGAGAAAUAAUUUAAGGAGGGAAGGAUUUGCUUAUGGCUUGAGGGAGUGUGGUCCAAUAUGUUUGGAAGACCUGGAAAGGAAGAGUAAUGUCAACUGGCAAUAUUGUCUCUGUGAGCAGAAAACAAGGAGAGAUGAACGCAAGUGCUCAGCUCAUUUUCUUUCUCCUUUUUAUUUAGCUGAGAACCUCAGCUCAUGGAAUGGCAUCUCAGUUCAUCAUGGUGGAGAGGGUUGGCAGUGAUACUGUCAUAGAGAUGAACGUUGGGGACUUGGCCUGCUUUCUAUUCCUUUCCUUUAUUCAAUCUGGGACCCUGUGAGAUUCUGAAACUCAGCUUCCUGCUGAAAGGGCCUCCUUCUCUACACUUUUUGAUGAGCCCAAACUGAAUGUCCAACAUGAUGAGCAAAACUGGUAAAGCAAAUCAGAGUUUCAAAAGGGAGACAUCACAACCAAUACAACAAGAGAUUAUUUCAUUAAUAAUAAUUAAAGAUUAUUACAAACAACUUCAUAUCAAAUGUCCAAUAUCCUACAAGGAAGAGAAAUAUUCCAAGAUUCAACCUGCCUAACGGUAAAUCAGAUGGAAACAGGAAACCUAACCAAAUCAAUGAUGCACAAUAGUCUUGAUCUGGAAAACAUUGAUGUCCACUGUCAGCACUUUAUCCAACACAAUACCCAUUGUCUUCACUGCAGAAAUGAAAUGAGAAAGAUCAGUCUUACUGAAAAGGAGGACAUUUCAAAAGUUUUGAUUCUUAAUGAUGUCUGGUAUAUGGAUGAUCUAAGGAUCCCACCAAAAAUUAUUUGACAAAACAAAUCAAUUCAACAUGCUUCCAG
rnacentral:lncRNA from 1 species